rnacentral:rRNA from 1 species
AAUCAACGCUGGCGGCGUGCCUCAGACAUGCAAGUCGAACGAUUAAAGCUCUCUUCGGAGAGUGUAUAGAGUGGCGCACGGGUGAGUAACACGUAAGUAAUCUACCUUCGAGUGGGAGUAACACCGAGAAUACGGUGCUAAUACCGCAUAAUGCAGCGGCAUCGCAAGAUGACAGUUGUUAAAGAAUUUAUUUCGCUUGAAGAGGAGCUUGCGGCAGAUUAG